AUUGAACGCUGGCGGCAUGCUUUACACAUGCAAGUCGAACGGCAGCACGGGCUUCGGCCUGGUGGCGAGUGGCGAACGGGUGAGUAAUAUAUCGGAACGUACCCAAGAGUGGGGGAUAACGUAGCGAAAGUUACGCUAAUACCGCAUACGAUCUACGGAUGAAAGUGGGGGAUCGCAAGACCUCAUGCUCCUGGAGCGGCCGAUAUCUGAUUAGCUAGUUGGUGAGGUAAAGGCUCACCAAGGCGACGAUCAGUAGCUGGUCUGAGAGGACGACCAGCCACACUGGAACUGAGACACGGUCCAGACUCCUACGGGAGGCAGCAGUGGGGAAUUUUGGACAAUGGGCGCAAGCCUGAUCCAGCAAUGCCGCGUGAGUGAAGAAGGCCUUCGGGUUGUAAAGCUCUUUUGUCAGGGAAGAAACGGUAGGAGCUAAUAUCUCUUGCUAAUGACGGUACCUGAAGAAUAAGCACCGGCUAACUACGUGCCAGCCGCCGCCGUAAUAC
rnacentral:rRNA from 1 species